rnacentral:lncRNA from 1 species
CACUUGCUUAGAGCAUCAUGCUACUGAAAGGUUUGGAAAACAGCUCAAAAUGAAGAAAAUCUGCAAAGGUUGAACAGGCUGGAGAGCUCACUUCUCAGAGGGGUUGGCAUGGAAGGGUGCCACGUGGGGAGAACCAAUGGAGAAGCAUGGUGGCCAUGAAAUAUGGCUUCCGGUCUUAACCACAAACUCCUUAGAAGCCACGAAGUGGAAAAAACUACAGUGUGUUUAGUAGGACUGGGGAUGUGGUGGCAAUAAAGAGGACUGCAUGGACAAGAGGCAUGGACUGACCCAUCAGCUCACGAAGUCCAGAAGAUGUGUAUUUCAAUCCAUUUCACGAUUGAAAACAGUUACAUACAUAAGCUACAAUCUCUGAAUCAGCUCAUUCUAUUUGUGCAAUUGAUGACUGUGACAUCAUAUUGGGACCAA